CGGUUUCUCUGGUUGAAAAU
rnacentral:snRNA from 1 species